rnacentral:rRNA from 1 species
AGCGUACACGGUGGAUGCCUAGGCAGUCAGAGGCGAUGAAGGGCGUGCUAAUCUGCGAAAAGCGUCGGCAAGGUGAUAUGAACCGUUACACCCGACGAUACCCGAAUGGGGAAACCCAGUGUGUUUCGACACACUAUCAUGGCAUGAAUACAUAGUGUCAUGAGGCGAACCGGGGGAACUGAAACAUCUCAGUACCCCGAGGAAAAGAAAUCAACCGAGAUUCCCCCAGUAGCGGCGAGCGAACGGGGAGGAGCCCAGAACCUGAAUCGGCUUGUGCGUCAGUGGAAGCGUCUGGAAAGUCGCACGAUACAGGGUGACAGUCCCGUACACGAAGAGGCACAGACCGUGAGUUCGAUGAGUAGGGCGGGACACGUGGUAUCCUGUCUGAACAUGGGGGGACCAUCCUCCAAGGCUAAAUACUCCUGACUGACCGAUAGUGAACCAGUACCGUGAGGGAAAGGCGAAAAGAACCCCGGCGAGGGGAGUGAAACAGAACCUGAAACCGUGUACGUACAAGCAGUGGGAGCCCUGAUUUAUCAGGGUGACUGCGUACCUUUUGUAUAAUGGGUCAGCGACUUAUAUUCUGUAGCAAGGUUAACCGAAUAGGGGAGCCGCAGGGAAACCGAGUCUUAACUGGGCGUUAAGUUGCAGGGUAUAGACCCGAAACCCGGUGAUCUAGCCAUGGGCAGGUUGAAGGUUGGGUAACACUAACUGGAGGACCGAACCGACUAAUGUUGAAAAAUUAGCGGAUGACUUGUGGCUGGGGGUGAAAGGCCAAUCAAACCGGGAGAUAGCUGGUUCUCCCCGAAAGCUAUUUAGGUAGCGCCUCGUGAAUUCAUCUUCGGGGGUAGAGCACUGUUUCGGCUAGGGGGCCAUCCCGGCUUACCAACCCGAUGCAAACUGCGAAUACCGAAGAAUGUUAUCACGGGAGACACACGGCGGGUGCUAACGUCCGUCGUGAAGAGGGAAACAACCCAGACCGCCAGCUAAGGUCCCAAAGUCAUGGUUAAGUGGGAAACGAUGUGGGAAGGCCCAGACAGCCAGGAUGUUGGCUUAGAAGCAGCCAUCAUUUAAAGAAAGCGUAAUAGCUCACUGGUCGAGUCGGCCUGCGCGGAAGAUGUAACGGGGCUAAAACCAUGCACCGAAGCUGCGGCAGCGACGUUUAGGCGUUGUUGGGUAGGGGAGCGUUCUGUAAGCCGUCGAAGGUGGCCUGUGAGGGUUGCUGGAGGUAUCAGAAGUGCGAAUGCUGACAUAAGUAACGAUAAUGCGGGUGAAAAACCCGCACGCCGGAAGACCAAGGGUUCCUGUCCAACGUUAAUCGGGGCAGGGUGAGUCGACCCCUAAGGCGAGGCUGAAAAGCGUAGUCGAUGGGAAACAGGUUAAUAUUCCUGUACUCGGUGUUACUGCGAAGGGGGGACGGAGACGGCUAUGUCAUCCGGGCGACGGUUGUCCCGGUUUAAGCGUGCAGGUGGGUGGACCAGGCAAAUCCGGUCUGCUAUCAACACUGAGGCGUGAUGACGAGGCACUACGGUGCUGAAGUGACAGAUGCCCUGCUUCCAGGAAAAGCCUCUAAGCAUCAGGUAACAGUGAAUCGUACCCCAAACCGACACAGGUGGUCAGGUAGAGAAUACUCAGGCGCUUGAGAGAACUCGGGUGAAGGAACUAGGCAAAAUGGUGCCGUAACUUCGGGAGAAGGCACGCUGGGCAUGGUGAAGUCCCCUGCGGACGGAGCUGGGCCCAGUCGCAGAUACCAGCUGGCUGCAACUGUUUAAUAAAAACACAGCACUGUGCAAACACGAAAGUGGACGUAUACGGUGUGACGCCUGCCCGGUGCCGGAAGGUUAAUUGAUGGGGUUAUCCGCAAGGAGAAGCUCUUGAUCGAAGCCCCGGUAAACGGCGGCCGUAACUAUAACGGUCCUAAGGUAGCGAAAUUCCUUGUCGGGUAAGUUCCGACCUGCACGAAUGGCGUAAUGAUGGCCAGGCUGUCUCCACCCGAGACUCAGUGAAAUUGAACUCGCUGUGAAGAUGCAGUGUACCCGCGGCAAGACGGAAAGACCCCGUGAACCUUUACUAUAGCUUGACACUGAACCUUGAACCUUGAUGUGUAGGAUAGGUGGGAGGCUGAGAAAUGUGGACGCCAGUCUGCAUGGAGCCAACCUUGAAAUACCACCCUUUAAUGUUUGAUGUUCUAACGUGGGCCCGUGAACCGGGUUGCGGACAGUGUCUGGUGGGUAGUUUGACUGGGGCGGUCUCCUCCCAAAGCGUAACGGAGGAGCACGAAGGUUAGCUAAUCCUGGUCGGACAUCAGGAGGUUAGUGCAAAGGCAUAAGCUAGCUUGACUGCGAGAGUGACGGCUCGAGCAGGUGCGAAAGCAGGUCUUAGUGAUCCGGUGGUUCUGAAUGGAAGGGCCAUCGCUCAACGGAUAAAAGGUACUCCGGGGAUAACAGGCUGAUACCGCCCAAGAGUUCAUAUCGACGGCGGUGUUUGGCACCUCGAUGUCGGCUCAUCACAUCCUGGGGCUGAAGUAGGUCCCAAGGGUAUGGCUGUUCGCCAUUUAAAGUGGUACGCGAGCUGGGUUUAGAACGUCGUGAGACAGUUCGGUCCCUAUCUGCCGUGGGCGUUGGAAGAUUGAGGGGGGUUGCUCCUAGUACGAGAGGACCGGAGUGAACGCACCGCUGGUGUUCGGGUUGUCAUGCCAAUGGCACUGCCCGGUAGCUACGUGCGGAAGAGAUAACCGCUGAAAGCAUCUAAGCGGGAAACUUGCCCCGAGAUGAGUCUUCCCUGGGUCCUUGA